GGAAAAUCCGAUUUUGUGUUUCUUUCUCCUACGUACAAGACAGUUAUCUGACAGGCUCAUCACUGGGGCGUUUGCAUUUGCUUCAGAGUGGCUUGGCCCUUUCAGACGUGACUGGCCACCCAGGAGUACGAGAAGCAAACCCAGGAAAGAUGGAUCCAGCCGUGCUCUCCAGUGGAGUGCUUCCAGGAUAAAGUUUACUGUAAAUGCGUCCCUGCUUCCAAAUGCAAUUCUGCAGAUGCACUUGGAUUUCACAGCCAUUGAUCAAUAAUUCAUUUGGCUUGUGACUGCCGAGGACAUGAUUUAACAUGUCCAGCUAAAUUAUGUUCCCCCAGGAACACUCAUGCAUACCAAAGGAAAAAAUCACAAUUACCAUCGUGCCACCCCUGACGGAAGCCAGCCUGCAUGUGGCCUGGGCUUGCUGUCCUGGGAGAAGGAAGCCUUGAGGUCCACAGUGCAGGGUCUGGGUGGGUCCAGAACCACCGAGGGCCUUCCAGUAGCCCCACCUGUCGAGAGCACCUGGACCCCCAAGCCCACCCCAGCUCAGGACUGCGGGGGCAGCGGCAAGCACUGGAACACCUUCCUCAGUUCACCCUUGACCAUGGAAGCUGCUCAUUCUCUGAGCUGCCCUCCUGGUUCCCAGGAGGUGACAGGCGUUGGGUGAACCAGCAGUAGUGGCCAGGCACAUAUCUGAGGCUACCUUGGCCAUGGGUUUGUGACUUGAAAUGUGAACAUUACAAGGUUUGGUGUCUAUUGAAAAAGGAGUCUGGCCGCCAGGGGUCCGUGAGACCCCCUCCCUGGGACGAGCUGGAAUGAAACGCCUCCUCCAUUCUCACUGUGGUUAGACACUGGGACGUGCGGGACACUGUGGUCAGACACUGCGAGUCAUGCAGGACACUUUUUUCCCCUCAAGGGCGCUGGGGGAGGAGUCCCCUCCUUUCUCUGCUGCCACUGUCCCUGAAAAUAAAAAGUAGUAUUUAGGAGCUCUGGCCUGGCCUCAGACUCCCUGGGUUCAAAUCACAGCUUCAUCACUCACUGUAAUGAGGUGAUCUUUCAAGUUAUUUAAUCUCUCUGUGCUUACUUCUGUAAUAGUGGCUGUGUGAUCUUUCAAGUUACUUAAUCUCUCUGUGCUUACUUCUGUAAUAGUCGUAUCAUUUACUCCUGUGGUUGUUGUGAAGAUUAAAU
rnacentral:lncRNA from 1 species